rnacentral:rRNA from 1 species
GACGAACGCUGGCGGCGUGCCUAAUACAUGCAAGUAGAACGCUGAAGGAGGAGCUUGCUUCUCUGGAUGAGUUGCGAACGGGUGAGUAACGCGUAGGUAACCUGCCUGGUAGCGGGGGAUAACUAUUGGAAACGAUAGCUAAUACCGCAUAAGAGUAGAUGUUGCAUGACAUUUGCUUAAAAGGUGCAAUUGCAUCACUACCAGAUGGACCUGCGUUGUAUUAGCUAGUUGGUGAGGUAACGGCUCACCAAGGCAACGAUACAUAGCCGACCUGAGAGGGUGAUCGGCCACACUGGGACUGAGACACGGCCCAGACUCCUACGGGAGGCAGCAGUAGGGAAUCUUCGGCAAUGGACGGAAGUCUGACCGAGCAACGCCGCGUGAGUGAAGAAGGUUUUCGGAUUGUAAAGCUCUGUUGUAAGAGAAGAACGAGUGUGAGAGUGGAAAGUUCACACUGUGACGGUAUCUUACCAGAAAGGGACGGCUAACUACGUG